rnacentral:rRNA from 1 species
UACGUAGGGAGCAAGCGUUGUUCGGAUUUACUGGGCGUAAAGGGCGCGUAGGCGGCGCGGUAAGUCACUUGUGAAAUCUCUGAGCUUAACUCAGAACGGCCAAGUGAUACUGCAGUGCUAGAGUGCAGAAGGGGCAAUCGGAAUUCUUGGUGUAGCGGUGAAAUGCGUAGAUAUCGAGAGGAACACCUGCGGCGAAGGCGGGUUGCUGGGCUGACACUGACGCUGAUGCGCGAAAGCUAGGGGAGCGAACGGG